ACUGCUUAAAGAAAGUGCCUGUCCUCA
rnacentral:piRNA from 1 species